rfam:Glossina morsitans morsitans, isolate Yale, WGS project CCAG01000000 data, contig: ctg10010560
GGGUAGUUUUUAGUACGUAAGCGCCAUGGAUGGCGAAUCGUCUAUGCUGCUACUAAGAACGAGCGGUAUCUUUUGAAGAUUUUCUACCUC